rnacentral:rRNA from 1 species
GAGUUGUUAUCUGAACCUCUUCGCCGUCAAACGUGGGGAGGGUAGGGUAGCAGUAGUCUUCAUCAUAGUCCACCUUGAUAUUCUCUUGGUGUGUACUGGGUGUUGACCUCCUUUAUUUCUGGUACUUCUACUGCAGCAAUGUAGUAGUUAGUCCAGAUAGUUUACUUUGAAAAAAUUAGAGUGUUCAAAGCAGGCAUAACUAGGCAUCAUGAAUACAUUAGCAUGGGAUAAUAGAAUAUGACAUUGGUCUUAUUUUGUUGGUUUCUAAGGCCAAAGUA